GAAAUUUCCGAAAACAACUUCCUUCUUACUUACUUGAAACCAAAAAAUGGCGGAUAUCUCGUCGCUCUUGGCUUCGGCUACGAUAGAGGCUUCCAUGGGCAAAACGGCUGCAAAGGGUGACAACGCCACUGCAGGCUGCGAGCCUCACUUGGAAUACAGA
rnacentral:ribozyme from 1 species